rnacentral:rRNA from 1 species
CCCUUAGAUGUCCGGGGCUGCACGCGCGCUACACUGGAGGAAUCAGCGUGCUAAAACCAUUGUCGAAAGGCAUUGGUAAACCCAUUAAAAUCCUACGUGAUUGGGAUCGGGAAUUGCAAUUAUUUCCCUUGAACGAGGAAUUCCCAGUAAGUGUGGGUCAUAAGCUCGCGUUGAUUACGUCCCUGCCCUUUGUACACACCGCCCGUCGCUGCCCGGGACUGAGCCGUUUCGAGAAAAGCGGGGACUGCUGCUGUCGGGGCUUUCGGGCCUUGGCUUCGGUGGAAACCGCUUUAAUCGCAGUGGCUUGAACCGGGCAAAAGUCGUANCA